rnacentral:rRNA from 1 species
ACGUAGGGUGCGAGCGUUAAUCGGAAUUACUGGGCGUAAAGCGUGCGCAGGCGGUUCGCUAAGACAGGUGUGAAAUCCCCGGGCUUAACCUGGGAACUGCGUUUGAAACUACAAGGCUAGAGUGUGGCAGAGGGGGGUGGAAUUCCACGUGUAGCAGUGAAAUGCGUAGAGAUGUGGAGGAACACCGAUGGCGAAGGCAGCCCCCUGGGUCGACACUGACGCUCAUGCACGAAAGCGUGGGGAGCAAACAG